rnacentral:rRNA from 1 species
AACGAACGCUGGCGGCAGGCCUAACACAUGCAAGUCGAGCGCCCCGCAAGGGGAGCGGCGGACGGGUGAGUAACGCGUGGGAACGUACCCUUUGCUACGGAAUAGCCUCGGGAAACUGGGAGUAAUACCGUAUGUGUCCUUCGGGAGAAAGAUUUAUCGGCAAGGGAUCGGCCCGCGUUGGAUUAGGUAGUUGGUGGGGUAAUGGCCUACCAAGCCGACGAUCCAUAGCUGGUUUGAGAGGAUGAUCAGCCACACUGGGACUGAGACACGGCCCAGACUCCUACGGGAGGCAGCAGUGGGGAAUAUUAGACAAUGGGCGAAAGCCUGAUCAAGCAAUGCCGCGUGAGCGAUGAAGGCCUUAGGGUUGUAAAGCUCUUUCAGGGGGGAAGAUAAUGACAGUACCGCCAGAAGAAGCCCCGGCCAACUCCGUG